rnacentral:sRNA from 1 species
GCUAGGCAUGGUGGUACAUGCCUGUAAUCCCAGUUACUUGGGAGGCUGAGGAUGGAGGAUUGUAAGGUUGAGGCCACUCUGGGCAACUUAAUAAGACCCUGUCUCAC